rnacentral:rRNA from 1 species
AUUGAACGCUGGCGGCAGGCUUAACACAUGCAAGUCGAGCGGGGUGAUGGUGCUUGCACUAUCACUUAGCGGCGGACGGGUGAGUAAUGCUUAGGAAUCUGCCUAUUAGUGGGGGACAACAUCUCGAAAGGGAUGCUAAUACCGCAUACGUCCUACGGGAGAAAGCAGGGGAUCACUUGUGACCUUGCGCUAAUAGAUGAGCCUAAGUCGGAUUAGCUAGUUGGUGGGGUAAAGGCCUACCAAGGCGACGAUCUGUAGCGGGUCUGAGAGGAUGAUCCGGCACACUGGGACGGGGACACGGCCCAGACUCCUACGGGAGGCAGCAGUGGGGAAUAUUGGACAAUGGGGGGAACCCUGAUCCAGCCAUGCCGCGUGUGUGAAGAAGGCCUUAUGGUUGUAAAGCACUUUAAGCGAGGAGGAGGCUCUUUUGGUUAAUACCCAAGAUGAGUGGACGUUACUCGCAGAAUAAGCACCGGCUAACUCUGUGCCAGCCGCCUCCGUAA